AUUGGACAAAACUUCUCCUUGUUGGAAGCAAGAUUGCUUUGUCAAUGAUUUUACAACGUUUCUCGUUUGAACUCUCUCCAACCUAUACCCAUGCUCCAACAACUGUGCUUACUCUUCAACCCCAACAUGGUGCUCAACUCAUUCUACGUAAAGUAGAAAUAUAAAUAAGGAUCGCGAUAUUCCAACAACGCCAAUUUGACAAAAAUUUGACAACGCCACGUAUCAAGUUUUAAUUGGUCGAAUUUGAAUGCUUUUUUUUAAUUUAAAAUCUGAUUUGAAAUGGGUUGAAGUUUGGAUUCCGAAACUGCCCUCUUCGUUUUCGAACUCUAUCUUCUCUCCUUAUCACUGUCUUCUCUCUCCAUUUUGGGGAUUUUAAUUUCAUUUCAACUUCUCUCUUCAUAGCAGUGUUCUCCUUCCUCCAUUUUUAGGGUUUCAUUUUGUUUUGAACAUCUCUCUCCUGCUUCCCUGUCACCAUUGUUUUCCUUUGAAUCUUUGUGGACAUUGGGUUUGUUUAUUUGAGUUGUAGAUUAUGCUUGUCUCGUUCGGUGUGGAUUUGUCUCGUUCGGUGUCUCUGUGGACAUUGAGUUUCUUUCUUUGAGUUAGAGAUUACCCUUGUCUCGUUCGGUGUCGAUUUGGUGGAAGUUGUUACCUUUUUUGUGCAAUGGGUUCGUCCGGUGACAAUGGUUCUUCGAACAAGGGAGCUGGUAAUCGUUUACCAGUAGAAAAAUCUCCUUUUGUACCGAAAGUUGAAGAGUGCUACCCAGACGUGGCUUAACCACUCCCCAAGAAUAUUUUGGAUUCGUUAUGACUGUCUUUUGAAAGUUUUAUGGAUGGAUCAUUAAUGGAACACUUCAACUUGGAAUACU
rnacentral:sRNA from 1 species